GAUGAACGCUGGCGGCGUGCCUAAUACAUGCGAGUCGAGCGAACAGACGAGGAGCUUGCUCCUCUGACGUUAGCGGCGGACGGGUGAGUAACACGUGGAUAACCUACCUAUAAGACUGGGAUAACUUCGGGAAACCGGAGCUAAUACCGGAUAAUAUAUUGAACCGCAUGGUUCAAUAGUGAAAGACGGUUUUGCUGUCACUUAUAGAUGGAUCCGCGCCGCAUUAGCUAGUUGGUAAGGUGACGGCUUACCAAGGCAACGAUGCGUAGCCGACCUGAGAGGGUGAUCGGCCACACUGGAACUGAGACACGGUCCAGACUCCUACGGGAGGCAGCAGUAGGGAAUCUUCCGCAAUGGGCGAAAGCCUGACGGAGCAACGCCGCGUGAGUGAUGAAGGUCUUCGGAUCGUAAAACUCUGUUAUUAGGGAAGAACAAAUGUGUAAGUAACUAUGCACGUCUUGACGGUACCUAAUCAGAAAGCCACGGCUAACUACGUG
rnacentral:rRNA from 1 species